rnacentral:rRNA from 1 species
GGGUUGUGAGGUUAAGCGACUAAGCGUACACGGUGGAUGCCCUGGCAGUCAGAGGCGAUGAAGGACGUGCUAAUCUGCGAUAAGCGUCGGUAAGGUGAUAUGAACCGUUAUAACCGGCGAUUUCCGAAUGGGGAAACCCAGUGUGAUUCGUCACACUAUCAUUAACUGAAUCCAUAGGUUAAUGAGGCGAACCGGGGGAACUGAAACAUCUAAGUACCCCGAGGAAAAGAAAUCAACCGAGAUUCCCCCAGUAGCGGCGAGCGAACGGGGAGCAGCCCAGAGCCUGAAUCAGUGUGUGUGUUAGUGGAAGCGUCUGGAAAGGCGCGCGAUACAGGGUGACAGCCCCGUACACAAAAAUGCACAUGCUGUGAGCUCGAUGAGUAGGGCGGGACACGUGGUAUCCUGUCUGAAUAUGGGGGGACCAUCCUCCAAGGCUAAAUACUCCUGACUGACCGAUAGUGAACCAGUACCGUGAGGGAAAGGCGAAAAGAACCCCGGCGAGGGGAGUGAAAAAGAACCUGAAACCGUGUACGUACAAGCAGUGGGAGCACGCUUAGGCGUGUGACUGCGUACCUUUUGUAUAAUGGGUCAGCGACUUAUAUUCUGUAGCAAGGUUAACCGAAUAGGGGAGCCGAAGGGAAACCGAGUCUUAACUGGGCGUUAAGUUGCAGGGUAUAGACCCGAAACCCGGUGAUCUAGCCAUGGGCAGGUUGAAGGUUGGGUAACACUAACUGGAGGACCGAACCGACUAAUGUUGAAAAAUUAGCGGAUGACUUGUGGCUGGGGGUGAAAGGCCAAUCAAACCGGGAGAUAGCUGGUUCUCCCCGAAAGCUAUUUAGGUAGCGCCUCGUGAAUUCAUCUCCGGGGGUAGAGCACUGUUUCGGCAAGGGGGUCAUCCCGACUUACCAACCCGAUGCAAACUGCGAAUACCGGAGAAUGUUAUCACGGGAGACACACGGCGGGUGCUAACGUCCGUCGUGAAGAGGGAAACAACCCAGACCGCCAGCUAAGGUCCCAAAGUCAUGGUUAAGUGGGAAACGAUGUGGGAAGGCCCAGACAGCCAGGAUGUUGGCUUAGAAGCAGCCAUCAUUUAAAGAAAGCGUAAUAGCUCACUGGUCGAGUCGGCCUGCGCGGAAGAUGUAACGGGGCUAAACCAUGCACCGAAGCUGCGGCAGCGACGCUUAUGCGUUGUUGGGUAGGGGAGCGUUCUGUAAGCCUGCGAAGGUGUGCUGUGAGGCAUGCUGGAGGUAUCAGAAGUGCGAAUGCUGACAUAAGUAACGAUAAAGCGGGUGAAAAGCCCGCUCGCCGGAAGACCAAGGGUUCCUGUCCAACGUUAAUCGGGGCAGGGUGAGUCGACCCCUAAGGCGAGGCCGAAAGGCGUAGUCGAUGGGAAACAGGUUAAUAUUCCUGUACUUGGUGUUACUGCGAAGGGGGGACGGAGAAGGCUAUGUUGGCCGGGCGACGGUUGUCCCGGUUUAAGCGUGUAGGCUGGUUUUCCAGGCAAAUCCGGAAAAUCAAGGCUGAGGCGUGAUGACGAGGCACUACGGUGCUGAAGCAACAAAUGCCCUGCUUCCAGGAAAAGCCUCUAAGCAUCAGGUAACAUCAAAUCGUACCCCAAACCGACACAGGUGGUCAGGUAGAGAAUACCAAGGCGCUUGAGAGAACUCGGGUGAAGGAACUAGGCAAAAUGGUGCCGUAACUUCGGGAGAAGGCACGCUGAUAUGUAGGUGAAGUCCCUCGCGGAUGGAGCUGAAAUCAGUCGAAGAUACCAGCUGGCUGCAACUGUUUAUUAAAAACACAGCACUGUGCAAACACGAAAGUGGACGUAUACGGUGUGACGCCUGCCCGGUGCCGGAAGGUUAAUUGAUGGGGUCAGCGCAAGCGAAGCUCUUGAUCGAAGCCCCGGUAAACGGCGGCCGUAACUAUAACGGUCCUAAGGUAGCGAAAUUCCUUGUCGGGUAAGUUCCGACCUGCACGAAUGGCGUAAUGAUGGCCAGGCUGUCUCCACCCGAGACUCAGUGAAAUUGAACUCGCUGUGAAGAUGCAGUGUACCCGCGGCAAGACGGAAAGACCCCGUGAACCUUUACUAUAGCUUGACACUGAACAUUGAGCCUUGAUGUGUAGGAUAGGUGGGAGGCUUUGAAGUGUGGACGCCAGUCUGCAUGGAGCCGACCUUGAAAUACCACCCUUUAAUGUUUGAUGUUCUAACGUGGACCCGUAAUCCGGGUUGCGGACAGUGUCUGGUGGGUAGUUUGACUGGGGCGGUCUCCUCCUAAAGAGUAACGGAGGAGCACGAAGGUUGGCUAAUCCUGGUCGGACAUCAGGAGGUUAGUGCAAUGGCAUAAGCCAGCUUGACUGCGAGCGUGACGGCGCGAGCAGGUGCGAAAGCAGGUCAUAGUGAUCCGGUGGUUCUGAAUGGAAGGGCCAUCGCUCAACGGAUAAAAGGUACUCCGGGGAUAACAGGCUGAUACCGCCCAAGAGUUCAUAUCGACGGCGGUGUUUGGCACCUCGAUGUCGGCUCAUCACAUCCUGGGGCUGAAGUAGGUCCCAAGGGUAUGGCUGUUCGCCAUUUAAAGUGGUACGCGAGCUGGGUUUAGAACGUCGUGAGACAGUUCGGUCCCUAUCUGCCGUGGGCGCUGGAGAACUGAGGGGGGCUGCUCCUAGUACGAGAGGACCGGAGUGGACGCAUCACUGGUGUUCGGGUUGUCAUGCCAAUGGCACUGCCCGGUAGCUAAAUGCGGAAGAGAUAAGUGCUGAAAGCAUCUAAGCACGAAACUUGCCCCGAGAUGAGUUCUCCCUGACUCCUUGAGAGUCCUGAAGGAACGUUGAAGACGACGACGUUGAUAGGCCGGAUGUGUAAGCGCAGCGAUGCGUUGAGCUAACCGGUACUAAUGAACCGUGAGGCUUAACCUUACAACGCCGAAGGUGUUU